CUGGGGUUCUUGGCUUUUUCAACAGACUGGAGAUUCGUGAUUAGGUAGUAUUUAAUUCUUCCUAAGCCAGGCACAGUACUGAAAAUCUGGCUAAAAAUCUCCAGUGCAGAGCAAAAAGAAGGACUUGUUGACUGGUGUCUUUAUGGAAGCUGAGCAGGAACUGCUGAGCUUAUUUUAACCAACAUCCCUCUUUGAUUCAUGCAAACUGUUCUUCGGAAUUCCUCUUCUCUCUUGCCAUUGACUAAAACACUAAAAAGCAAGCUAUUCUGAGGGAACAAAAAGGUAGAAAAAUGAAACACUGAAGAGGGUGACUGAGUUUCAGACUCUGAAUCUGUGUUUGCAUGUUACCAUCCUGUUCUCGGCUUAAUUUAAUCACGGAGUUGAAGGCAUGGGUGACAUUAUGCUUCUUUGCAUGGAAACUGCAAAAGAAGUUUUGGAACUUUAUUCACAGAAAACAGCUCUGAGUUUGGGAGAUGGAUGAGUUUCCCUUGGGUACCACUGUCACCAUAAACUGUGACAUAGAAAUAUCAUCAUCCAAAAAUAUAUUUGGUCUUGAA